rnacentral:rRNA from 1 species
UACGUAGGGUGCGAGCGUUAAUCGGAAUUACUGGGCGUAAAGCGUGCGCAGGCGGUUCGUUGUGUCGGCGGUGAAAGCCCCGGGCUCAACCUGGGAAUGGCCGUUGAAACUGGCGAACUGGAGUGUGGCAGAGGGGGGUGGAAUUCCGCGUGUAGCAGUGAAAUGCGUAGAUAUCAGGAGGAACACCUGUGGUGUAGACAGCUUGCUGGACCAUAACUGACGCUGAGGCACGAAAGCGUGGGUAGCAAACAGG